rfam:Ictidomys tridecemlineatus contig028675, whole genome shotgun sequence.
GGAUGUGAGGACCAUCUGGCUUUUAUACCUGUCACCCCAUUGAUCUCCAGGGUAGGUACCCCAUCGCUAGGUAGAUGUCCCCUUGUGCCCUCAACACUCCAUGUGUGUCCCUCCUGAAGCUUGUGCUCGGUAGAGGAGGAGCAAUAGAGGAGGAGCUUUCUUUGACCAAGGGUAUCCCAGUAGCUGUGCUUCCCUGAUAAAACCUCCAAACAAUCUUUCAGGGUCCAAAACUAAUAAUGAAGUUAAAAAAAAAAAAAAGGUUGUUAAAAUUAAAAAAAAAAAUCUUCUCUUACAAUGUCUAGUUUUUGAUU